rnacentral:rRNA from 1 species
GAUGAACGCUGGCGGCGUGCCUAACACAUGCAAGUCGAGCGGACAGACGAAGCUCGUUCUCGGUUUACGCGGGGGGCGGGCGAGUGAGGCACACGAAUCUGACCGGCCUAUGGGACUAACGUCACGUCGCGAGAGCUGAUCUAGCACCCGAUAAGAUGGCGAACCGGGGGGUUCGUUGGACAAAAAGGGCUUUGCUGUCACUAGUAGGUAGUAGUUCGCCGUAUUAGCUAGUUGGUAAGGUAACGGCGUACCAAGGCUACGAUGCGUAGCUGACCUGAGAGGGUGAUCGGCCACACUGGAACUGAGACACGGUCCAGACUCCUACGGGAGGCAGCAGUAGGGAAUAUUCGGCAAUGGGCGAAAGCUUGACGGAGCCACGCCGCGUGAGUGAAGAAGGUCUUCGGAUCGUAAAACUCUGUUAUUAGGGAAGAAUAGCCGUGUAAGUAAACGUUGCUGUUUUGACGGUACCUACUGAAAAAGCACCGGCUAACUACGUG